rnacentral:rRNA from 1 species
CCCUUAGAUGUUCUGAACCGCACGCGUGUUACACUGAUGCAUUCAACGAGCUUUACCUUGGCCGAGAGGCCUGUGAAAUCUUUUUAGCAUGCAUCGUGAUAGGGAUUGAUUAUUGCAAUUAUUAAUCAUGAACGAGGAAUUCCUAGUAAACGCAUUUCAUCAAAAUGCAUUGAUUACGUCCCUGCCCUUUGUACACACCGCCCGUCGCACCUACCGAUUGAGUGGUCCGGUGAAGUCUCGAGAUUGUGGCAAUCUCCUUUAUUGGAGUUUGACUGCGAGAACUUGCCUAAACCUUAUCACUUAGAGGAAGGUGAAGUCGUAACA